rnacentral:rRNA from 1 species
CAUGCACCGAAGCUGCGGCAGCGACACUGUGUGUUGUUGGGUAGGGGAGCGUUCUGUAAGCCUGUGAAGGUGUGUCGUGAGGCAUGCUGGAGGUAUCAGAAGUGCGAAUGCUGACAUAAGUAACGAUAAAGCGGGUGAAAAGCCCGCUCGCCGGAAGACCAAGGGUUCCUGUCCAACGUUAAUCGGGGCAGGGUGAGUCGACCCCUAAGGCGAGGCCGAAAGGCGUAGUCGAUGGGAAACGGGUUAAUAUUCCCGUACUUGGUGUUACUGCGAAGGGGGGACGGAGAAGGCUAUGUUGGCCGGGCGACGGUUGUCCCGGUUUAAGCGUGUAGGUGUGUGUUCCAGGUAAAUCCGGUUCACUUUAACACUGAGGCGUGACGACGAGGCACUACGGUGCUGAAGCAACAAAUGCCCUGCUUCCAGGAAAAGCCUCUAAGCAUCAGGUAACAUCAAAUCGUACCCCAAACCGACACAGGUGGUCAGGUAGAGAAUACCAAGGCGCUUGAGAGAACUCGGGUGAAGGAACUAGGCAAAAUGGUGCCGUAACUUCGGGAGAAGGCACGCUGACACGUAGGUGAAGUGAUUUACUCAUGGAGCUGAAGUCAGUCGAAGAUACCAGCUGGCUGCAACUGUUUAUUAAAAACACAGCACUGUGCAAACACGAAAGUGGACGUAUACGGUGUGACGCCUGCCCGGUGCCGGAAGGUUAAUUGAUGGGGUCAGCGCAAGCGAAGCUCCUGAUCGAAGCCCCGGUAAACGGCGGCCGUAACUAUAACGGUCCUAAGGUAGCGAAAUUCCUUGUCGGGUAAGUUCCGACCUGCACGAAUGGCGUAAUGAUGGCCAGGCUGUCUCCACCCGAGACUCAGUGAAAUUGAACUCGCUGUGAAGAUGCAGUGUACCCGCGGCAAGACGGAAAGACCCCGUGAACCUUUACUAUAGCUUGACACUGAACAUUGAGCCUUGAUGUGUAGGAUAGGUGGGAGGCUUUGAAGUGUGGACGCCAGUCUGCAUGGAGCCGACCUUGAAAUACCACCCUUUAAUGUUUGAUGUUCUAACGUGGACCCGUUACCCGGGUUGCGGACAGUGUCUGGUGGGUAGUUUGACUGGGGCGGUCUCCUCCUAAAGAGUAACGGAGGAGCACGAAGGUUGGCUAAUCCUGGUCGGACAUCAGGAGGUUAGUGCAAUGGCAUAAGCCAGCUUGACUGCGAGCGUGACGGCGCGAGCAGGUGCGAAAGCAGGUCAUAGUGAUCCGGUGGUUCUGAAUGGAAGGGCCAUCGCUCAACGGAUAAAAGGUACUCCGGGGAUAACAGGCUGAUACCGCCCAAGAGUUCAUAUCGACGGCGGUGUUUGGCACCUCGAUGUCGGCUCAUCACAUCCUGGGGCUGAAGUAGGUCCCAAGGGUAUGGCUGUUCGCCAUUUAAAGUGGUACGCGAGCUGGGUUUAGAACGUCGUGAGACAGUUCGGUCCCUAUCUGCCGUGGGCGCUGGAGAACUGAGGGGGGCUGCUCCUAGUACGAGAGGACCGGAGUGGACGCAUCACUGGUGUUCGGGUUGUCAUGCCAAUGGCACUGCCCGGUAGCUAAAUGCGGAAGAGAUAAGUGCUGAAAGCAUCUAAGCACGAAACUUGCCCCGAGAUGAGUUCUCCCUGAGACUUAAAGUCUCCUGAAGGAACGUUGAAGACGACGACGUUGAUAGGCCGGGUGUGUAAGCGCAGCGAUGCGUUGAGCUAACCGGUACUAAUGAACCG